AUUGAACGCUGGCGGCAGGCCUAACACAUGCAAGUCGAGCGGAUGAAGGGAGCUUGCUCCUGGAUUCAGCGGCGGACGGGUGAGUAAUGCCUAGGAAUCUGCCUGGCAGUGGGGGAUAACGUCCGGAAACGGGCGCUAAUACCGCAUACGUCCUGAGGCAGAAAGUGGGGGAUCUUCGGACCUCACGCUAUUAGAUGAGCCUAGGUCGGAUUAGCUAGUUGGUGGGGUAAAGGCCUACCAAGGCGACGAUCCGUAACUGGUCUGAGAGGAUGAUCAGUCACACUGGAACUGAGACACGGUCCAGACUCCUACGGGAGGCAGCAGUGGGGAAUAUUGGACAGUGGGCGAAAGCCUGAUCCAGCCAUGCCGCGUGUGUGAAGAAGGUCUUCGGAUUGUAAAGCACUUUAAGUUGGGAGGAAGGGCAGUAAGUUAAUACCUUGCUGUUUUGACGUUACCAACAGAAUAAGCACCGGCUAACUUCGUG
rnacentral:rRNA from 1 species